ensembl:snoRNA SNORD115 Small nucleolar RNA SNORD115
GGGUAUAUGAUGAGAUAACAGAAUGUCUCAAAGAGAGAUGAUGACUUAAAAUCAUGCUCAAUAGGAUUACUCUAAGGCCU